rnacentral:tRNA from 1 species
CAUACAGUAGCUUAAUACAAAGCAUUAAAUUUUUAAUUUAAGGAUAAGUUAAACUUAUGUGUGA